CAUCAGUAUAUCUUCUGCCUUAAACAUGGCGACCGUGGCAAAGUUGUCACGGCAAAUACCUCCGUUCUGUCGGCAUUUUCGUGGUUUUACACGUUCAUACAGCUCGUUUCGUAGUGAUUGUGUAGUGAAGGAAUGGAAACGAAGCACUGCGCAUUUGGUGGCAGCCUCCAUCGCCCUUUAUGUUGGAUACAAAUACUUAAAACCCACUGUGGUCCACGCCUCAAAGUCCCGAAGGCGAGACGAUGAGACACAAAAGGCAGUAAACCUGACGGUGCGGGAACGGAGAUUUAUAAAAUUUGCAUCGGUGGAAUAUGACGGGCAACUGUACAUGACGCCCCAGGACUUCCUCGACAGUGUUGUUGAACCCGAACCCAGACCGAGACUAAAAAGGCGCGUGUUAACUGACAAGGAGCUCGAAGUGAUGAGAAAUUCCAUCCCUUUGCUGCGCCAAGGAAGUCCACAUAUGUUCAGAAACUUGCGGGACAAAGGGAUUAUUUCUUAUACGGAGUAUUUGUUUCUCUUGUCCAUUUUAACCAAACCCAAUACAGGUUUCCGAAUCGCGUUUAACAUGUUCGACACUGACGGAAACGAACGCGUGGACAAAACUGAAUUCCUUGUGAUUCGACAACUACUCGGUGGCACACUGAAGCAGCGGCGGCUCGACGAAGAAACUAAACGUGCAUUGAAUACCAUAUACACACCGAAUGGGGAAUUCGUUCGUAUACCAAAACUUCGUAACAACUAUCAGGGAAACGAGAAAACAGAAAUUGUCUCUAAUUCUUACAUGGAAAAAGUGUUCAGCCACACUUGGAGAGGGCGCCAUGGCACCGAGACCAAAGAGAACUUGGAACAAUUAAUCGAGAGACAAACCUCUCCGGAAGAAAUCCAAGUUCAAUAUAUUGAUGACGAGCAGGGUCUGCAACGACGACACGCUGUAGAUACAACAUUAAUGAUACAUUUCUUUGGGAAAGAUGGUAAUAUUGAGCUGAAGUACGAAGACUUUAAACGUUUCAUGGAAAAUCUGCAGCAAGAAGUGCUUGAGCUUGAGUUUCAUGAAUUCAGUAAAGGUCGCGAAGCCAUCACUGAAAUGGAUUUUGCUAGAAUUUUGCUACGAUACACUUAUCUUGACACGUACGAAUAUGACAAAUAUUUGGAUCGGAUCUUACAGAACACAGAACUUCAAACUGGCAUUACGUUUGAUGAGUUUCGACGUUUCUAUCAAUUCUUAAACAAUAUCGAUGAUUUCUCGAUAGCUAUGCGAAUGUAUACAUUAGCAGACCAGCCCAUAUCCAAAGAUGAAUUCCAACGUGCUGUAAAAAUCUGUACAGGAAGUGUGCUUUCCGGCCAUAUAAUAGAUACAGUUUUCGCAUUGUUCGACGAAGAUGGCGAUGGUCAGUUGUCCUACAAGGAAUUCAUCGUGAUAAUGCAGGAUCGCCUUCACAGAGGUUUUAAGAUCUAAUGAGAAGACAGAUGGAUCUCGGGAAAGUACUGUUAUAUCUCGCUUCUCGUGAUAACUGUCACAACAACGACGCGAGGGUUGGCAAGCGUUUAAUGCCUGUGUGAAGCAAGAAAUGAAGUCUCGUUAAUUGGAAGAAAAUGAAGAUAGAGAAAGAUGGAAAUUCUAAGAGUAACUGCGCAUAGUACUCAAUAAUAUAAAGUGCCAUAUGGACGGCAGUCCUUUUUCAACCCCUAGUCUUAUUACAUUCUUCUCUAUUGUGAUAUUUGCAGUUACCAUUGCAUUAAACAUAAACCGCACACUCUCUACCUCUAUUUAAUAUUUACUCAUUUUGUUGCGUGUUUGUAACAGUGUGAUUAUUAUGCUGCGUUUUGCACAGUUGUUGAUAAGGCUAGUCCUGACAAAAUAGAUAAUGACAACCGGCAGUCUUGCCCAUUUGCUACAAACAUAUUAAAGAAAAAUCUGUUGUUUUAUUUAUAAUAUAUGAGUUAUUGUUUAUUGAGCAUUUCAAAUGUAUAGUGUUUGUUCUGUUUAAAUUAAAGAUACAUCAAUAUAAAAACUGUUUGUGUUUAAUCUCCGAAUAGUGUAUAUAAUUAAUAUAGUUACUUAUUUCACAAAAUAAUUGUAUGAAUAUGUACUGUUCAGUUAGAUGGAUUAAUGUACCAAAAGGAACGAGAUUCUUAUAGUACAAGUUUAAUUAUAUAGUUUAUCACUCACUGUACUAAAUCGUUUGAAUAAUUAUGCAGUAAUUAAAACUCGAUCAAUACAAUAUUUUGCCAAUUAAAUUAUCUAAAAUGUGACAUUCAAUUAAAGUAUAAAAUAUAUACGCAAUUUGACUGUAAUAAAUAUUAGUGCAUGCAAAUGCAUGAAAAGGAAAACAUUUUAAUUAAUGUUUGACUUAAUCUACAACGCUUAAGUUAUAAAUUAACUAAUAACUAUAAUAAUUGAUCUAUAUUAACUCUAAUUGGCUAAGUUAUUUCAUAGUUAAUAAUUAAUUAAUUAAAAUAAUUUGUUGUUAUUGACUAUUAUUAUCAAGUUGACCAAAAAGUCUUGUCAAUUUACUUUUUAAUGUGGCGUUUAUAUUACAACGAUCCAAUAAAUAUUACAAAUAAGAGAACUAAAAGAUAAUAAAAUACGCAACACAUAAUUCAAUGAAGUUCAUUUCAAUGGAAUAAAAUUUUUCUUUUAACUUUGUUUAGAAACACGAUGAGACUUUUAGAUCAAUCUAAUAAUAAUUAAUGAAUCAUAUAUAUUAGUAUUAUUUAUUAAUAAACUUAGUUAUUAAGUGACAACUAUCAAUUCUUAUGCAAUUUAAUUCAUUAACUAGUAAAGUAAUUGAACAUAACUUCUAAGAUCUAUGAGUAUCUCUAACAGUCACGUCUCCGCGUGUUGUUUGUUAUCACUCAUCACACUGAUUGCUGUCUGGUGGUCUCAUGAAUUAAGCUGACGAUAAAGAACACGUCAUUACUUGUCCUUACGGCCUAACAUCAAACGAACUUCAUCGCGGAUGAGGUCAAUGAUACCACGAAAAGCUUCCUAGUUCCAGAAUAAUGAGUUCUGUCUAGGAAUGCAAUUUCCAAAGGAGUUAUGGUGGUUCAACUUAAUGCUCUAUUUAUCUGAUUUAAUUAUUUAAACAACUUUCAAAGAUAGAAUCAUUAUGUGUAUUUCAAUGACAACGAAAAAUACAGUAUGUAUUGUUUUAUAAUAAAUACUUUGUGAAAAAUUAUUCUUCUGCUAUACAAAUUUUUCUAUAUAUGAUUUUUUAUUAUUGUUACUUUUAAAAUAGUUUUUAAAUUAAUUUUAAA